CAUAAGCGAACCGGGAGGAAAUGUUUCUUCAAUUUUGGCGGCACUGACGUUGAGAUUAUUUUUGACCCUCUUUGCCCUCGUCCCCCGACCAUAGUUCCACCUCCACAAUGCAGUACCGAGCCUAAAAAUACACGAAGUGGGGUGUCAUAGUGGACAAUUUCUGGUGUUUUCUUCAAUCUGUGUGCCGACGACUUGCAGUCUCGUAGUGGGUUAAUUGAUGAAGAUUUGUACCCCGAUUACAAAGCGUCUGCGGUGUGAUGGAGGUGGAAGAAAUUACUGAGAAAGGUAAAAUCCAAACUUUGCUGAAGUUGUAGUUUGAAUAUGUACAAUUCCUUGUGUACGAAUUCGAUAUUCUCUAUUGGGUAAUGUGUUAUUUCAAUUCUUGUAUAUUGAAAUCAUAUAAUUAUGAACAUUGUUAUGGUACUUGUUUUCUUAUUUUGUUAUAACACUAAUCUAUUCCCACUCAUUUUGCCAUAGGGAAAGAAAUAGUGAAUGUGGUAGAUGACGAAGUAUUGGUAGAAUCCAAUAAUCAGAAUUCAUUGGACAAUGUAAUCAUGUUGGGAGGUGACAAUUUAGGAGGAGAUGUUGCGAACGUUCCUAAGGUUAGUAUGAAGUUCAACAAUGAGAAUGAGCUGUAUGAAUUCUACAAGAAAUAUGCGUAUGACGUUGGUUUUUCGGUGAGGGGAAGGAAUUCUAGGAAGUGUGAGGAUGGAAUAGUAAGAUAUGUUACGUUGACUUGUAAUCGUGAGAGACGACGAAGCUAUAAGACAAGCGCUUAUUUAAGGCCACAACCAACAAUUCAGACGGGCUGCAAAGUAAGGCUAACUGCUUCCGCAGAUAUUCUUGGAGUGUGGAAAAUUUGCAUGAUCGAACUCGAGAACAAUCAUAAAACAAGUCCGUCGAAAUCUAGGUUGUAUCGAUGCAAUCGAUAAUUGACUACACAUGUGAAAACGAAAGCUAGAGGUGAAUGACACGGUCGAAAUUCCUUUGCAUAAGAGUUACAACUCUACAGUUGUUGAAGCCGGCGGCUAUGAAAGUAUGAUGUUCAUAGAAAAAGAUUGUAGAAAUUACGUUGAACAAGUGAGACGAUUAAAACUAGGUGAAGGAGAUGUCGCGGCAAUACAAUCCUACUUUUCUUGAAUUCAAGCAUCUUGUUUUAGGUUUUACUUUUCUAUGGAUUUAGAGGACGAGUCAUGACUUAAGAAUCUUUUUUGGGCGGACAAAAGGUGUAGGCAAGUGUAUAAGGAGCUCGGGGACGUAGUGUUGUUUGACAUCACUUACCUCACUAAUAAAUAUGACAUGCCCUUUGCCCCAUUUGUUGGAGUAAAUCAUCACAGACAAUCAACGCUGCUUGGGUAUAGGUUGCUAUCUAUUGAGGAUACAAAUACCUUCGUGUGGUUGUUCUGGACAUGGAUGCAGUGCAUGCACGGUCAAUCUCCUAACGAAAUUAUUACCGAUCAAGACAGGGCAAUGCAAUUCAGAUAGUUUUUCCGAACACGAGACAUAGAUGGUGUUUAUGGCAUAUAUUGAAGAAGUUCCUAAAAAAAUUUGGAUAUCACAAGGAUAAGAAACAAAUAUUUUCUUGCAUACAUGGCUUAGUUUAUGACUCAUAGUUUGCUGGAGAAUUUGAGGAAUGUUGGAGAUUGAUGGUUGACACAUAUAACUUAUAUGAUAAUGAGUGGUUGUCAAGGUUGUAUAAGAAUAGGGGUCGAUGGGUUCCGUGUUAUUUGAAAACAACCUUCUGGACAGGGAUGUCAACUACUCAAUGUAGUGAGAGUAUGAAUGUGUUCUUUGUGGAUAUGUUCAUUCCAAGACAUCGUUGAAGCAAUUCGUAGAACAAUAUGAACGAGCAUUACGAAAUAAAGUUGAAAAAGCGUUUCAAGCAGAUUUUAAGUCUUCCUCGGAGAUGGUAUCGUGUGCAAUCAAAUAUGAAAUGGAAAAGCAAUUUCAGACAGCUUAUAUGAUAUCUAAGUUUCGAGAAUUUCAAGAUGACAUAACUGGAAAGAUGUACUGCGACAUCAUAUCUACAUCAAAUUGAUGUUCGGGAAAGAUAUACGAGGUCGAGAAAGAUGUAAUUUAUGAAGAAAAGGCGAGCAAGAAAUUUUUUUUGGUGUUGUUUCAUGAAGAGGAGGUCGAUAUUAUUUGUAGUUGUCAUCUUUUCGAGUUUCAGGGAAUUCUAUGUAGACAUGCCAUAUCAGUUUUGAUGCGUAAUGGCGUCACAUUGGUGCCGAAAAGGUACAUAUUGAGGAGAUGGAGGAGAGAUAUUUGUAGAGCCAACAUGAGGGUUGCAAUGAACUAUAAUGGUUUAGUUAUAUUCUUGUCAUCUAUGUAUCGAGACGAACAUAACAUUUGAAAUAUUGUAAUUUUCCAUGUCAUGUAGGCAACGUCGCCUUCAACCAAAGGGCAGAGACCGAGAUCGAUAAAGAGCAAUCUCCAAUAUGAUACUAUACUGAAUGCAAAACAUUCCAUAUUAACACCACUUUCAUGUUCACAAGUUAUAUUGGGAAAUUAAUGCAGUUGCACAACCCUUCACACCUUCAAAUUUCAUUGCUCCGUCAACAUUAAAUGUUGUUCUCAAU